rnacentral:rRNA from 1 species
GCAACUUAUGAAAUAAAUUAUUAACGGCCGCGGUACUUUGACCGUGCUAAGGUAGCGCAAUCAAUUGGCUUUUAAAUGGAGUCAGGUAUGAAUGGAAUCACGGAUUUAACUGUCUCUGAACUAUUUUAUAGAAAUUACUUUAUAGGUGAAAAAGCCUAUGUUAAGCUAAAGGACGAGAAGACCCUUAGAGUUUUAUUUAAUGUAAAUUAUAUAUUUAUAACAAUUUAGUUGGGGCAACAUAAGAACAAACAAAAUGUAACUUCUUGUAAUCUACUUAUCGAUUUUUAUAAAUAUGAAUAAACUACCUUAGGGAUAACAGCAUAAUUUAAUAUAUAAGUUUGUGACCUCGAUGUUGGACUAGGGAACUAAUAGGCUAGCCGCUUAUUAGAAGGGUUCUGUUCGAACUAUAAUUCCUACAUGAUCUGAGUUCUAAACCGGAGAUGUUUUUGUAAAACAUGCUACAGCCGCUAUUAAAGGUUCGUUUGUUCAACGAUUAAAGUCCUA